rnacentral:rRNA from 1 species
CAGUAGCCGCGGUAAUACAGAGGGUUCGAGCGUUAAUCGGAUUUACUGGGCGUAAAGCGUGCGUAGGUGGUGGUUUAAGUCCGUUGUGAAAGCCCUGGGCUCAACCUGGGAAUUGCAGUGGAUACUGGGUCACUAGAGUGUGGUAGAGGAUAGUGGAAUUUCCGGUGUAGCAGUGAAAUGCGUAGAGAUCGGAAGGAACAUCUGUGGCGAAGGCGACUAUCUGGGCCAACACUGACACUGAGGCACGAAAGCGUGGGGAGCAAACAGGAUUAGAUACCCCUGUAGUCCCUGUCUCUUAUAU